UCCCUGGUGGUCUAGUGGCUAAAAUUCUGUGCUCCCAAUGCAGGGGACCUGGGUUCGACCCCUGGUUGGGGAA
rfam:TPA: Bos taurus chromosome 21, whole genome shotgun sequence.